UACGUAGGGUGCAAGCGUUAAUCGGAAUUACUGGGCGUAAAGCGUGCGCAGGCGGCUUUGCAAGUCAGAUGUGAAAUCCCCGGGCUCAACCUGGGAACUGCAUUUGUGACUGCAUGGCUUGAGUGCGGCAGAGGGGGAUGGAAUUCCGCGUGUAGCAGUGAAAUGCGUAGAUAUGCGGAGGAACACCGAUGGCGAAGGCAAUCCCCUGGGCCUGCACUGACGCUGAGACGCGAAAGCGUGGGGAGCAAACAGG
rnacentral:rRNA from 1 species